rnacentral:rRNA from 1 species
UACAGAGGGUGCAAGCGUUGUCCGGAAUCACUGGGCGUAAAGGGUGCGUAGGUGGUGAGGUAAGUCGGAUGUGAAAUCUCCGGGCUCAACCCGGAAAUGGCAUUGGAAACUACCUUGCUGGAGGAUUUGAGGGGGGAUUGGAAUACUUGGUGUAGCAGUGAAAUGCGUAGAUAUCAAGUGGAACACCAGUGGCGAAGGCGAAUCCCUGGAAAAUACCUGACACUGAGGCACGAAAGCUAGGGGAGCAAACAGG